CACAUUUCAGGUUGGGCACUUGCAGUGCCAAGGGGAGGAGGACGCAAUGUGAAGGGAAGGUUUCUUGGUCGUGGUCUGGAUUGACAAGGAGGGCCAGAGGCAAACAAGGAUCAUCCAGACGGGACGGUUCACCUCUCCCUAACCUCCACAGCGACCCCAGGGCUGUUGGGCACCAGAGGAGGAAAUGCUGACUCACUAAUAGGAAGCUGGGACACACCCUCGUGUUGCAACCGUGGCCUCCCGGGGGUGCGUCGGCCUCAUCUGGCCACUGGGCUGGCGUCCCCCUCUGCUUUCCAUCAGCGCAUACUGGAUUCCCUCACCUUUUGCCGUCCCCACACUGCGCCACCCUGCACCUGGCACCACUCAGCACCUCCUCCUGGCCCUACCCGUCCGCCAUGGAAUCCAGCCACUGAGAAAGGCACCAUUGAAACAGACAUAAUCAUGGGUCAGAAGAUGUGACUCAGCCUCUACUCAAAUCUGUUUGUCAAACCAAAAGGUGCUUCGUGUUUAAGUCAAACUAUCCCUAAUGCAUUUUCCAUUCUCUUCAAAAACCACAGCCAUCAGUUUUAAAAAAAGACAGAAAACAUGAAGCACACUUCUCUUGCCUGGCUUACCAUUUUCUUUGAUCCAUUAAAAUCCAAGAGUGAGCCCUUCCUCGUCUCUAGAGUGUGGAGCAAAGAGGGAAUAAUUAUCCAUAAAGUGGCCUUCUGAGUGUUUGCUUUGCGAUGAAAGAAAACUUUUGAGAGCUUGGAAUAAAGAAGGAAUAUCAAAAUUCACCAGACUCAGAAAACUGCCCUGCCCCGUGACUUCCAUCUGCUCCUCUCCUGAUAAUUGUAAAAGCCAAUGAAGAUUGUGCUUCUUAACUACACAUCAGCCGGCUGAUUGUAAGUGUUGGGAAUAUAAUUAGGGGUACACGGCUCUGACCCUCACUCUUCGUAGGUUUAACAAGAUUGGACUUACGCAAUGGCAAGAAGGAAACCGAGAUUGAAAAUGACCAAUUUUGCUGGUUGAGAGGCGUCUUGUUUUCUGGAAGAAACUGAGAAUCUGCAGUUGUAGACUGGGAAUGCUAGAACCUCUGGAGUGGCAUCAACUCGAUCGGGGGCCAAAACCAUGAGAAAGCACCAAUAUUUUCCACCGUUUUUAACCAAACUCGGCUGUUGUUGGUCUAAAACCUGCCCUGGGUUUUGAGGGAGCGGUGCUUUUGUGAGCCCAGCUUGCCUUGAGUGCAUGGAUGGGAACCUGAAACCAGCCAGUCUUGCCUCCCACCCUCUCAACUUUUCCAGUAAAAAAUGUGACGGGCACUUUUUUUCCAGUAAAACUGUUCCCCCAGCAGGACAGCCUAUAUGCAGCUAGGUUCCUGGCAAAUGAGCAGGGAAUAAUAGCUGGCUAGAGGUGGGCGGGACUGAAAUACAGCUGUCCACCUCUCCGGAAAACAUCACCCAGGGUUCUCCCCAUCCCCAUCUGACCUUCCAGCCACUAAACAAAUAAAUAAGGCCUUAGAAGCUCCUAGAGUCAACCACAGCCUCAGCUUCUAAACCGAGGCUGUGAUUCUACGAAACUCACCUCACAUCUGUGUCAUCUUUGAAAGACUCCAAUGGCUGGAUUGGUUUGAUCCUAUUCCGAAGGGCUUAUAAAGAAGAAUCCAGCCG
rnacentral:lncRNA from 10 species